UGAGAUGGAAAGUUAGUAAAUCCUUUUGAGAGGAUUACAUAAUUUUAGGUAGGAAUUUGACAAGAGAGUCGAAUUUUGAGGGCUUCUACAAGUGACAAGGGGUCAGGCUGGGAACAUGGAUGCCCUAGGUUCAAUUCCAACAAGGGGAAAAAUGCUACCUAUCAAAAUAGAGGAAAGCAAAAGAAAAAAGAAAAAGAGUAAGACAAGACUUAGAAUAAAUAUUAAUGCUAUGAUUGGUUUUAGGAAAGUACUAAGGGAAUAAAAAAAAAUGGUAAGGAAAAUGGCCUUCUUAUGUUUGGUUUUACUUUGGAAAAAAAAAUAUAUAUAUACAUACAUAUAUAUAUAUAUACUUAAAAUUAGUUGGAAACUUAUGUAUUUUCAAAUUAUUUAAUUUUUAUAUAGAAGAGUUAAAUGUCUGUUUGGAUAUGCUUCCUAUCUUCUAUUUUUAAAAUUAGAAAACAGUAGUAACUUUAAAUAAGAUACAAGAACUCUUAGAAACUUACAUCGAAAGAGUAACAAUUUUAAAAACUGUUCAAAAAAAUUAAGAUAUCAAAAACUUUUUUCUACCUUAAAUUUUAAAAUUUUCUAAAAAUGAUUUUUAAAGACAUCAAUUAAAUAUAUACUUUUUGUAUAAGAUGUUCUACUUUUAUAUAUAGGUUUCUAAUUUUCAAAAUAAAAACAAGAAGCAUAUCUAAACAGACACUAAAUAAGUGAGAUGAAUUUAAACUAGUAUAUAAAAUAAUUUAUUCACUUUAAAUCGAUUUUUUUUAUUUUCCUUCAUUUUUUUAUUUUUUUUUCCUUAUGCUUUUCCUCUCUAUUUCCUUUCUCUCGCAUUUUCCAUCAAAUGUUUCCGAAACAAAACAUAGCCUAAGUGAAAAGGAAAUCAUCGACUUUACGCCCAAGGCAAGCACAUUGCAAAUGAACUCUAUAGGGAAUAUACUCCAAAACACAAUGUCUAGACAACUGGCCCUGAUUCUAGAUUGUUAACAAUGUCAACUCAAAAUCUAGUUCCUCUCCACAACUCCAUAGAGAAAACUACCCACAUAAUGUUUUGGAAUCAAUUCUGAUACAAUGCAGCCAAUUAAUGAACACCAAAAGAAAACAGGUCAAAAAUUGGGUUUAAUUAAAACAACCUCAAUUUGAAAAAUCCACAACUCAAAAAUUACGACUUCUUAACUUAAAUUCUAUCCAAACACUUACAUUGAUGAGUUCAAAUAAUAGAAGCGCUCGCAACAAACCGCUCUAUGCAGAGAUAUGCACAAAACAAAUUUUCAAACAAAACAAAUGCAAUUUCAGACACAACAGCAUUUUAAAUCAAAAGCCAUGUCUGAAACAGAUGGUAGAAACAAUACAAAUAAGUUAAGAUGAAGACAACACAUUCAAGAUUAGGGUUCUUGCAGCAAUCAAAUUGUAGCAAAGAUAUAGAGAAAUUGAAAACAAAAAUUCGAAUUCAGAGUUAGGGGUUUUAGAGAUAGAGAGAAAAACCUGGUUAAUGAAUGGAGAGGAAACCCUAGAGGAUCAUUUGACGAGGUAUUCCGUAGAGGGGAGAAACGAUCGCCGGAAGGAGGGGUUCGGAGUGUUUCUGUUUUUGCUUUUUCUCCCUUUUUUGCUUCCGAAAGCGACUUUUUUGUUUUUUCUGUUUUCUGAGAGUAGUGUAAACCGACGUCGUUUUGAGUUUUAGAAAUAGCACGGAGGCUGCAGCCAUGCUAAACGACACCGUUGGAAAUUCAAUUCUUCCAUUUCAACUCACACGUUCGUCGUCGCUGAAACGACGUCGUUCUUCUCAUCAUUUCGUGUUGUGCAACAAUCCCGCUAAAUUAUUCGAAAUUUUUUGGAGGCUUCUACUUAAAAAACCUAGAAGUGAUAAACGUCUUAGGAUUAUUUUUUUUAUUUUGAAAAAAAAAUUAUAAAAUUAAUUUUAAAAUAUGAUUAACUCAUUAUUAAUAGAAGGUUAAUAGUAAAAUAAAAAGUGAGUUACAAAAAUGAUAAAUUGUCAGAACUUGAAAACGGAAUAGAGCAAAUUGAGAAGAAAUCAAUACAAAAUAAGCGACAGUGAUCCCAAAGUGGAGUUAAAGUACCAUGGAUAAUCACGGAUGCAACCCUUAAAAGAUGUUUUCAAAAACUUUUAAAGGGUUAAAAACCAGACUAAUUGGAGUGUAAUAUUAUUGUUGUGCACAAUUGAACCAUUAGACCAUUUUCUAUAGAGGCCUAAGCUAGAACAUUAUCGGUUGAUUUGAUCUAACCAAUGGAAAGUCUCAAUAGAUUUAUGUCUAUCAACCAUUAUAUUAACACUCCAUACUCAUUGUGACAUAUGAUAUUCGAUAAUUAUUGGUCCAUUUAUAGUAAUAUGUCAUUGUUAUCUUAAUUUGAUCAAAAAGAGUUCAAUGCACACUAAACCCGUUUUGCAUCAAGGAGCCUUUAGUUACAUCAAUAAAAUAAGAUCUUAAACCUAUCAUAAGAGGUAGGAGGAUCAAACCCAUUGUCAAUGUGCACCAAGUUUGUAUAAGACCCGCUUAAACCUAAACCUAAAUCUUAACUAAAUGAGGUGUCUUCAAGUGGGUAUGGAAACAAAGUGAGAAUGGAAAUGGAGAAAAACAAUGGAGGAAUUAACAUCACAUCAAAAGAGGUGCAUACCAAGAUCAACCCUAUGAAUGAUAAGGUUCUCACAACAUCAUCACUACAAAGAGGUAAGGUUGAUACUACAAGUGCAAAAGGUACAAUCAUAACCACCUUGCAAUCAAAUUGAUGCAACCUUAUUAAAAAAUCAAGAGGAUAAGAACCUUAUAAAUGUUUGGAAAGAGUCUUUAAAAGUAAGACACGUAGUAACAAAGUUAUACUUGAGUUUUGAUUAUUCUAUCCAUUACUUGCAUUAAUAUUUACUUGAGAAUUGAAUUUGCAUCACUUGUAUUAUACAUGACUUCAGUGCACUAGAAAUUAUACGAAAAAUCCAAGUUAUGAGUUUCUUGCAAGUUGAUAACUUGUUCACCUAUAGUGAAUCAUGAUAUUCAGUAUUGAAUAAUCAUAAUUCAUUAAACUACUAUGCUACAUGGGCUCUCAAUCUUAAAAUAAUAUUGAGUUAGUGUUAAAGUCUUCAGUGGUUGAGACCUUAAGGUAGUCAUAUAUUCCCUAUAGAUUAGGUCAUUAUUAAUUAAGAUAGAUGAUAACAAGUAUUUUCAAGAUAGGCACCACAAUAUCCCUUAGGUUUGAGACAAUGUGUCAUAAAGGAUGAUCUUAAGGAUAUGUAAUUACGAAAUUUAUGAUCAUAAUAAUUCUUUAAGUGGAGUUUAACAUGUGCUUUUAAAGAGUUAUAAUAUAUCAAUUGAUCACAUAAUAGGAGGAUCUAAGACUAAGGAUGAUAGUAGUAAGCUCGAGAGGUUUAUAGUGUUCACAUUGUUAAAUUACGAACACCAAUUCAUAAGGAGUUUACAUGCAAUCGUUAGUAAGUCAUAGAUUUGAGUAUUCUAUCACGAUUUAAUAUCAUAGGACAUUAGAGUGCAAUUGACUCUCCUUAAUGGGAUUUUAAGUCAACUUGAGAAUUGGAUUUUGAGAGAGGCUUUGUUUUUUUGUGUCCUAAUGGUUCUAGUUUGAACUCAUAUUCAUAAGCGGCACAUCACUUAAAGGGAUAUUUGAGUUUUUUAUUUAUAUGUGUGUAUGAGGUCAUAUUGGUAAAUACAUAAAGUUGCACAAGAGCUUGUGAAAUGGGUUAUUUAAUUAAUUAGAGUUUAAUAGAGUUAAUUAAAUUAAGAUCUAAAUAGGUUGGAUAAAGUUAUUCAAGCUCAAAAUGGGCUAAGGUAAACUUAUAUAACCUUUUUUAGGCCUUCAAGAUAUCUUGACUAUUCUAUCAUCAAGAGAGAAACCUUAGCUCCCACUCAUUUAAAAGGAUUCCACCAUCCUUAAGUGCCUAAAUCAAGAAAAAAGAGUCAUUGGACCAAGGAUCUUUUGGUUUUCAAGAUUCGCAUCACAUUUGACAAAUUUUUGAAUUAAAAUGGUUUUUUUUUUUUUUUUUUUUUUUGGAAAACUUGUUUUAAAACCUUUUUUUUUUUUUAAGAAUAAAUGUGAGGUAUUUUAAGAAACAAUUAAAAAUAUGAAGACUACUUUUGAAACUUCUGCAUCAUAUGUAAGUACAUAGUACUUUUCACAGUGAAUUAAUUAAGAAAAAAGUUUUGAAUAUUUGAGUUUUUAAAUAGAAUUUUAUUAUUAAAAACAAUUGAGAAUUUUCUUUUGUGAGUUAUUUGUAAAAUUUGUUUUCAAAAACAUUCUCAAACAAACCUUUAGUAUACUACUUAGUAGUUUGUUUGCAUCCAUCACAAAUAAGAAUCUAUGAUGUGGGUGUCUACUAAGUGGGUAGGUAUCUAUGCCAAGCAUGACUUCAAACUUAAGCAUUGAGAUAUAUUAAUGAAACAGGUGCAUUUAAUGAUUCAAGACACAAAAAAGGCAGACUCAUUCAUCUGAGAGUAAAUGGCUAAACCCUCGAACUUAUCUCAUAUGAAAGAGUUUUCAAUCAAUAGACCCUCCUUUUUUUUGAGAAUUGAUUAUUCAUAUUGUAAAACUAAGAUGACUCAAUUUCUAAAAUCAAUUGAUAACAAUUUAUAGGAAGUCAUCAAAACCGGAUUACAUAUUCCAACUAAAAUUGAAAAUGAAGUGACCAUUUCAAAACCUAGUAAAAAAAUGGGAUAAGCUUGACAAAAGAAAAACUCGAUUGAAUGACAAAGUCAUGUACCAUUUACAUUGUACAAUAGAUGUAAAUAAAUAUAAUCAUAUUUAACAAUGUGAAUCCAUUAAGGAUAUUUAGAGGCUUUUAAAAAUUACUAAUGGAAGUACCAAUCAAGUUAAAGAGUUUACAAUUAAUAUUCUUUUACAUAGUUAUGAACCCUUUUAAUACAAAAGAUAAUAAAACAAUUGUUGAGAUGUUUAUUAGAUUUACAGACAUUAUAAACUACCUUUAAUCAUUGGGGAAAAUCUAUACCGAACCUUAAAAGGUAAUGAAGAUCUUAAGGUCUUCUUCUUAAGUAAUGAAAAGCAAAAGUGACAAUAAUUCAAGACGCUAAAAAUCCCACUGAACUCUUAGUUGAAGAGUUGAUUGGCCCGUUGAUGACACAUGAAAUUACCACACAAAGUCAUCAAAAAGUCGAUGACUAAAGGAAGAGGAGUAUUGUCUUGAAGUCUAAACCCGUGAAAAUGAAGAUGAUAAGCAAAACGAAGAAGAUGAAGAUCUUGCACUCAUAGAAAAAAAAGUUUAAGAAGACUAUAAAGUGUUAAGAAGAAUAAGGGAAAUGUCACAAGAAAGAAUCUUUCACCAAUUGUGAAAGAGAAAAAUGACCCAAAUGGCUAUAAAUGUAAGAAAGUGACAUAGUAUGGAAAUUUAAAUGAAAAUUAAAAAUUAAAAAAAUCAGUUAUAAAGUUUUUGAUAUUAUGUUAUAUAAUAAAAAACAAUUUUUAAAAAGAAAUCAUUUCAAAUGUACUUCUAAAACUAUGAGAAGUUCGACAUAUUUUUUAAAAUUUUAAAAAUCACUUGAAAUGAUUCUUGAAAUGACUCUUCGACAAUCCCUUGAUAACUCUUCGAAGAUCCUUGAUAGAUGAGUUUCCCAAAAAUAAUUGUUUUGUUAUGUAAUGCAUUAUCAAAAAUACAAUUAAAAUAUGUUUUAUUAAAAAAAUUAUAUCCAAACAAAUCUCUUGAAAAACAUUUCCAAUGGAAAUGUUACCAACAAAAAAGUACUAUAACUAAACACGAUUUAACUUAAAUCAUUCUCAAAUGGGCUCUUAAUGAUCUUUGAAACAAUCACCUAUAAUUAUAAUGUUUUCAGGACUUGACCGAUCAUUUAACCAGAAAAGUUAUCGGUUCACAGUUCACUGGUCAAACUAGCGAUCAAACCGGUGAUAUUAUAAAUAUAUAAUUUAAAAAUUAUUAAAAUUUAAAAUAAUUAUAAAAAUAAAAAUAAAAAUUUAUAUAUUAUUUAAAAAUUAAAAGUUUAUUUGAAAAUCAAAAAAUUAGUUUCAAAUUUAAAUUUUAAAUUAAAAUAAUAAUUUUAAUUUAAAAUUUUAAAAUUAAUUUUUAAAUAAAAAAACUUAUUUUAAAAUAAAAAAUUUAUUUAAAAUGGUAAUGUUUUUAACUUUUCAUUAAUUUAAAUUAAAAUCAUAAGUUUUAAACACCAUGAAAUAAAAUAAUAAUAAAUAUAAGAGAAAAUCAAUAAUAGUGAGAUGAGGUAAAAAAUAAUUAAAAAAAAAAAUCUAGAAGAAGAGAGGAGAGGGACGAGCAAAAAAGGAAACAACUUUUCCAACGUGGGGUGGGUUUCUACAUGCAAAAACUUUUCCAACGUGGGAUGGGUUUCUACGGGCAAAAAGAGGAAGCUUUUCGAAUGAAACCAUCCGGCUCGCCAAUCAAUCCACCGAUUUAACCAAUCCAAAUGAUCAGACCGAAAUCGUGACAGGUCAACGGUCAGACCAUCCAAUCCGAUCCAGUUUUUAAAACCAUGCCUAUAAAAUGAUUAUGUAAGAAUAACCUUAAUAAUUCUCUAGAUUUUUAAAAGUGAUUUAAACCAUCCGGUUCGAUCCGGUUUUUAAAACCAUGCCUAUAAAAUGAUUAUGUAAGAAUAACCUUAAUAAUUCUCAAGAUUUUUAAAAGCGAUUUUUUAAAUUUUAUCAAAUGCCUAAUUUCUAUAAAGUAACGCUUCUAAUAAUUAAGAAGUGCUUCCACUCCUCUCAAAAUCUUUGCCAAACAUGAACAAAUUCUUCAAUCAUCAUAUAAGCUUCUAUCGUAUUAUAUGAAAUGAAAUCUGUCUGCACCUGUCUUGAAUGGGAGUUUUAACUUCAACCCUUUCACAAACCACCUGCACAAGCCAUUCCGUUCAACCUACUAGCUAAAUUAAUCCCAUGACGCUACUCACCAGCCUCUCAAAUCCCGGUCUUCGUACACUCGAGUUCUAAGCUACCCCAAAAACCACUCCCAGCUAGUAACCUUAACACUGAGGAAAGUACUGACGGUAUUGAACAAAAAAAAUCUCCCAAACAAGCAAAAACCAAUUAAUCAAAAGACACAAGUUCGAAAAAGAACCACACAUCCAAGAAUAUGACAGUUCAUUGUUGUCACUGAUCUUGAAACAACAGAUUCUUACAGAUCAAUCAUCAAACAAUCUCAGUUGAACAAUUCCAGCAAGAGCCACCCCACCUAUAUACGUAAUAUUACAUGAUCAAGCACAAUUACAUUGUCUAUCGAAGAUCCAAACAGGUUCCAGAGAAAUUGAUAGCAGUAUUUCAAUUACAAACAUAUAAAACAAAGCUCAAUUACCACUACCACCACCACCACCAAAGAGGUAACCCAAGGAUGAUCCACCACCUGGAGCAGCAUGGACCUUAGUUGAGGGACGAUCCUGCAAACCAGGAAGGAAGUUUACCUUUCAUAAUGGGACAUACGUGACUGAAUGAGUGAUAAUCAAACAAAUUUAAGCAUUGAAAUGAUAAGCAAUUGAAAAUAACUAAACUUUCAGGGCAUGUCUGUUGUGCACAUCUCCAAGGAAAAUCUUAGCAGCCUAUUUCAAUUGUAAUCAUUUUUUAGGAUUGAAAACUUAGAUAUAAUUUCUAUUUUUUUGAGAGGCAAACUUAAAUGUAAUCUUGAACAAACAAUUCUCUUCCAACCACCAGAAUGCCUUCAUUCUAGCACAAAAUCAAGAUGAUAACCGCUUUCUUACAGAAUUGCCUAAAAAUAAAUUGCUUGACAUUUAUUUUAGAGACAUUAUCUAGGACUAGUCAAAAAAGAAAAAAAAAAUGAUACUCAUUAGGGUAGCCCAGUUGGUCAGGGGGAAUACUGGAAAGUGUGGUCCCAGUAAGUAGCAUAUGGUCCUAGAUUGAGGUUUGGGUUCCUAUGAAAAGUCCUAAGGGCUCGGCCAUGGAAGGUUCCUUGGUUAUCAGAAAAAAAAAAAAAAGAUAUCUACGAAUAGGACAAUCUUCCCCAUCGAUUUUUGCAAGUAAUUUCUCAUUCAUCAACCAAGCACCGGCAGCAACUAGUUAUUUCAUAUUCAUGGGUGUGCAACUUAUAGCAUCUCCAUCUCUAUAUGAAUCAUGGUUGCCAUAUGGAACAGAAAAUAAAUUCAAACUAUCAUAUAUUUAGAUGCCUUGAAUAGUUUGCAUUCAAUAUCCAAUUAAUCCAAAGUAAUCAUUUAUCUUAUUUUAAAUCUUUAAUGAACACUAGAUACAAUGCAUAGGGUCCUUGCAGCAAGAAAAUCAAAGAUUAAAACAUCAAACACCAGUGGGAGGCAAUUACACACAGCACUUGAAUCACCAACUGGGACUUAAAGUGAUUUUGUUCACCAAAAGCUUCAAGAUAAUAUACAAAACAAAGGCCUACAUUUUGAUAAGCAGUCGAUAUCAAAACAAAAAGAAACGAGAAGGAAAGACAAAAUCUCAAGGCUUCUUAAUAACAAAGAUCACUCCUUGCUUAACAUAUUCGAAAUAUCAUAAAUUAAACAAGAUCACUUCCAACUGAUGCCACAUGCCUGA
rnacentral:lncRNA from 1 species